AGGUUGUUUAUGUGAAAUGUUUUCAUGGUGUGGGAAUAAAACUUGGUGGUCUAAUACAGCUAAUACAUAGAUUAGCAUCACAGCUUGUCUGUAAGGAUUGAAGCUGGUAAUGGCCAUUUCGAGCUGACCUUUAUGGUAACUUUAACUGUGGCUGCAUUAAAUGGCUGUGUGAUAUAACUGUAACAGUGAAGAAUGUUAUUCAGACAAUUUUUGUGUAUGUUUGAGAAAUUGUUUAUAAUUUUUUACAAAAAAAAAAAAAAUAAAAAAAAAUGUAAAGAUUCUCCAUUUUCAACAAGAUUGGAAGUUGAAUGUUAACUUAUAUUCAUUUUUUUUUUAAUCUUUUUUCCAUUUAAGCCCCAUGGCUGUACUCUGAUAGCUCUACUCAUGUCCAGAAUUGUCUUGGCAUUUCUUUUUGUCGUGCUUAUGGAUACUGAACUGGUUUGUAUUGGUAUGUGUCUAGUCAAGACACUUCUAGUCCGUUAAGAAUGGAGAAUCUAAAAAAAAAAAAAAAAAAAAGGAAAAGAAAAAAGAAAAAAAUGUAAAUUUUAUUGUAAUGUAUUUUUUUGGUUUACUGAUCGUUAGAUAUAUAUUUUUUUGCCAACUUUUUGUUUUUUUGAAGCUUAGUUUGUAACGAAGCAUAAAAGUUUUGUAAUAACAUUUUGCAAGAAGUAUAGUUGAAGAAUAUCUUUGUGAAAAUAGAUUGAUUGAUUGAUUUUUGGUGUUUUAACACCACUUUGAGCACUAUUGGCUAUAUCUUGAUGGCCAUUUUUUUUAUUGCUGAAGGAAGCUCAAGUAAUAUGAGAGAAUCACCGAUAUUCAAAAGGAAAACUGAAAAUCCUAGUCAAUUAAGACCAGAGUCAAACCUACCGCUUACCGGGUUCAAACUCACAACCUAAGUAUUGACAGGCUAGUGUUAUACUAGUUGAACUAAGAUCACUCUUGUCAACAAGGCCCCUAGGUGAAAACUAAAGUACAAAAUGUACUAAGUAUAUUAUUGAAAUGUGUUGGAGUUUUGUUAUUAAAUUAUUUUUCUAUUAUACUAUUUUUUGUAUUGUUGUUAAAAAUAGCAAGAAUGUGGAGUCCUAACUGUGAAAUUUAGGUCAAAGGGAGGUAAUUUUUUAUACCCCCUGUUAAACUCCACAUACUUGAAAUUUCCUCAGUGUUAGGUUUUUAUUUACUUGGAUAUUCACGUUGUAUGAUUUAUUUUUAAUAUCAAAUGUGUACUGAAUAUGAAUCUAGAUUAAAGAUUUCUUGGGUGGGAGAAAUUAUUUGGCACAAAAACUGAUUUGGUGAAAUUUUUCAAAAAAGUUAUUAGUUGAAAGUGCAUCUGAUAUUUUUUUUUAUAUGUAACUGUAUUUCUAAGACAAACAAACAAAGAAUAGAUUGGCAAUAAAAUGAGGACAGCCACCUUGGCAGCCAGGAGAACACAGCUCCAUGGAAGAUGGUUAAAUGAAUCUUCUACCAAGUCUGAGGC